rfam:Schistosoma margrebowiei strain Zambia genome assembly, scaffold: SMRZ_contig0001207
AUCCAGCUGAUUAGUCCCAAACAGGACGAAAUUCGCAUCCUAGAU